rnacentral:tRNA from 1 species
UGCCUGAUAGUUUAAUGGUAGAACAAGAUAUUCCUAAUAUUUUAAUCUAAGUUCGAUUCUUAGCCAGGUAG